ACUCCUACGGGAGGCAGCAGUAGGGAAUCUUGCGCAAUGGGCGAAAGCCUGACGCAGCGACGCCGCGUGAGGGAUGACGGCCUUCGGGUUGUAAACCUCUUUCAGUAGGGACGAAGCCUCACGGUGACGGUACCUACAGAAGAAGCCCCGGCCAACUACGUGCCAGCAGCCGCGGUAAUACGUAGGGGGCAAGCGUUGUCCGGAUUUAUUGGGCGUAAAGAGCUCGUAGGCGGCUAUUCACGUCGGAUGUGAAAGCUCAAGGCUCAACCUUGAGAGGCCAUUCGAUACGGGAUAGCUAGAGGUAGGUAGGGGAGAUCGGAAUUCCUGGUGUAGCGGUGAAAUGCGUAGAGAUC
rnacentral:rRNA from 1 species